rnacentral:lncRNA from 10 species
GCCACCACACCUGGCUAAUUUUUGUAUUUUUAGUAGAGACAGGGUUUCACCAUGUUGGCCAGGCUGGUCUCGAACUCCUGACCUCAAGUGAUCCACCGGCCUCAGCCUCCCAAAGUGCUGAGAUUACAGGCAUAAGCUACUGGGCCCAACCUGGCUUCUUUCAUUUAUAUGUGUGCUUAAGGAUCCUGCAUGUCUUUUCUUGGCAUGAUAAUUCAUUUCUUUUUUUUUUAAUUUUUUAAAUUUUUGAGAUGGAGUUUCACUCUUGUCGCCUAGACUGGAGUCCAGUGGCAUGAUCUCAGCUCACUGCAACCUCUGCCUCCCAGGUUCAAGUGAUUCUUCUGCCUCAGCCUACCAAGUAGCUGGGAUUACAGGUGCCUGCCACCAUGCCCAGCUAAUUUUUGUAUUUUUAGCAAAGACAGGGUUUCCCCAUGUU